rnacentral:rRNA from 1 species
UACGAAGGGGGCUAGCGUUGCUCGGAAUCACUGGGCGUAAAGCGCACGUAGGCGGAUUGCUAAGUCAGGGGUGAAAUCCUGGAGCUCAACUCCAGAACUGCCUUUGAUACUGGCGAUCUCGAGUCCGGGAGAGGUGAGUGGAACUGCGAGUGUAGAGGUGAAAUUCGUAGAUAUUCGCAAGAACACCAGUGGCGAAGGCGGCUCACUGGCCCGAUACUGACGCUGAAGCACGAAAGCGUGGGGAGCAAACAGG